rnacentral:rRNA from 1 species
AUCCUACGGGAGGCAGCAGGCGCGCAAAUUACCCAUUUCCGACUCGGAGAGGUAGUGACGAAAAAUAACAAUACAGGUCUCUUUCGAGGCCCUGUAAUUGGAAUGAGCGUAUCCUAAACCCAUGGGCGAGGACCCAUUGGAGGGCAAGUCUGGUGCCAGCAGCCGCGGUAAUAA